AAGUCGUAACAAGGUUUCCGUAGGUGAACCUGCGGAAGGAUCAUUUCCAAAAAGCAAUUGUGCCUUAAUAAAAAUAUACACCUUUUGGUGUGUGAAAAGUAAUGGAAUUGGUAAAAAAUCAAUUUUACUCUCUCUUCUAAUUUGUGCUCUGCAUCGCGUAUGCAAAGCAUUUUUAGUGAGAGAGAGGCCUUGAUGAACCCACAUCCUUUUUUCAAAGGACUUUACAUUUUCAUUAAUGUUUAGUACCUUGAAAAGGAAGUUAACAAAAAGUCUCGAUAUGUUUCCAAGAAAAAAAGAGAAAGAGUUAGUGUACUUCAAAAAUACACUCAACAAACUACUCUAUACACUUAGUAAAUAUACAGACAACUUUUAACGGUGGAUCUCUUGGCUCGU
rnacentral:misc_RNA from 1 species